UACGGAAGGCAGCAGUGGGGAAUAUUGCACAAUGGGCGCAAGCCUGAUGCAGCCAUGCCGCGUGUAUGAAAAAGGCCUUCGGGUUGUAAAGUACUUUCAGUCGUGAGGAAGGUGUUAAGGUUAAUAACCUUAGCAAUUGACGUUAGCGACAGAAGAAGCACCGGCUAACUCCGUGCCAGCAGCCGCGGUAAUACGGAGGGUGCGAGCGUUAAAUCGGAAUUACUGGGCGUAAAGGGCACGCAGGCGGUUAAUUAAGUUGGAUGUGAAAUCCCGGGCUUAACCUGGGAAUGGCAUUCAAGACUGGUUAGCUAGAGUCUUGUAGAGGGGGUAGAAUUCCAUGUGUAGCGGUGAAAAUGCGUAGAGAUGUGGAGGAAUACCGGUGGCGAAAGGCGGCCCCUGGACAAAGGACUGACGCUCAUGUGCGAAAAGCGUGGGGAGCAAAACAGGGAUUUAGAUACC
rnacentral:rRNA from 1 species